AGCACUUCGGAGCUUGCUCCUAUGCGUUUAGCGGCGGACGGGUGAGUAACACGUGGGCAACCUGCCCUGCAGAUCGGGAUAACUCCGGGAAACCGGUGCUAAUACCGAAUAGUUUGAGGCCUCUCCUGAGGCUUCACGGAAAGACGGUUUCGGCUGUCACUGCAGGAUGGGCCCGCGGCGCAUUAGCUAGUUGGUGGGGUAACGGCCCACCAAGGCCACGAUGCGUAGCCCACCUGAGAGGGUGACCGGCCACACUGGGACUGAAACACGGCCCAAACUCCUACGGGAGGCAGCAGUAGGGAAUCUUCCGCAAUGGACGCAAGUCUGACGGAACAACGCCCCGUGAGUGACGAAAGUUUUCGGAUCGUAAAACUCUGUUGUGAGGGAAGAACACGUACCAACUAACUAUUGGUACCUUGACGGUACCUCACCAGAAAGCCACGGCUAACUACGUGCCAGCAGCCGCGGUAAUACGUAAGUGGCAAGCGUUGUCCGGAAUUAUUGGGCGUAAAGCGCGCGCAGGCGGUUCCUUAAGUCUGAUGUGAAAGCCCACGGCUCAACCGUGGAGGGUCAUUGGAAACUGGGGAACUUGAGUGCAGAAGAGGAAAGUGGAAUUCCACGUGUAGCGGUGAAAUGCGUAGAGAUGU
rnacentral:rRNA from 2 species